CCUGUUUGGUUGUUUACAGAUAGUAAAAAAGGUACAACCACACCAAACAAACAGCCAAAACAUUAAAACCACUGUCUAGGCCUCACCUGUACCAACAGAACAGCCAUGAUCCAUCAAGGUGUGAACUCCACAAGUCCCUGAACCUUCUGCAGUAUCUUCUGGAACAUCACUACCAAGUCAUGGGAUCACAGGGGCAGCAGUGCAGAAGAGAAUGCAGAAUUCGCUCAUCCAGUGUCCAGGCAGUCAGUAGAGGAGCGAAGAGGGAGGGAACCAGACGCCAAGAGAAAGAGAGAGAAAAAGAGAGCGAGAGGCGCAAACUCGGAGACUCUACAAAGAGAGGGAAGGCAGAGAGAGUGUGGCUGGGCGAGAGACACUGAGAAAGAGAAAGGGACGAAAGAGAGACAGAGAGAGAGAGAGAGAGAGACAGAAGGAGAGAGAGUUUUCUUUAGGAAGUCCAGAGCGACUGCUGUAGAGGACACACUCCUGUCCACUAACCCUGAGGAGAAGAACAGGAGGAAAAGACUAGGACUAGCCUGGAAGAAGACCAUUCAAACUAAGUGUCCAUUCCCUCGUCCCCCUUCCUAAAAGGACACCAACCACACUUAUUCCCGUCCCAUACCUUUCAAGAUCUGUCCAUCAUCUGUCCAGGCUGUGCAGCGACUGGACCUGGGAAGACUUCUGCUGGACAUAGUAGAAGCAGAAGAAGACAAGAAGGAGACAACUGGGGAAGCAGAAGAAGAAAAAGAAGCACUACUUGUAAAGAGUGUCUGCCGGCUUUGUCCGAGGUUUGGGAGGAGCAAGGAAAGGAGAAAAGAUAAAGAAGAAAAAGGCAGAAGAAAGAAGACGCACCGGAUAAAGAAAGGAAGAAAGAAAGAGAAAGGCGAGGGGCGCCGUCACCACUCGUGAGGAUCAUGGGGAUCACCGGGAUCACAGGGAUCAGGGGAAGCUACUCCGGAGGCUGGAAGUGGGCACCACCACCGCUACUGCUGAUGAUGCUUCUCAGCGCCAUCGUCUUCGGUGGUUCCAGCGCAUGUCCUGCGCUGUGCACCUGCAGCGGCACCACGGUGGACUGCCACGGACUGGGGCUCAAGACCGUUCCCAGGAAUAUACCCAGGAACACGGAGAGGCUGUGAGUAAACCUUUCGUUCCUCGCUUUUCUAGAGUUUAAAACCAGUUAAGGGUCACGGCUGGACAC
rnacentral:lncRNA from 1 species